rnacentral:rRNA from 1 species
CUGAUUGAUGGUGCUUGCACCUGAUUGACGAUGGAUCACCAGUGAGUGGCGGACGGGUGAGUAACACGGUAGGUAACCUCGGCCCCGGAGGCGGGGGAAUAACUAGUUUAGGAAACAGAUGACUAACUACCGCAUAACAAACAAAAGCCACAUGGUCUUUGUUUGAAAGAUGGCUUUGGCUAUCACUCUGGGAUGGACCUGCGGUGCAUUAGCUAGUUGGUAAGGUAACGGCUUACCAAGGCGAUGAUGCAUAGCCGAGUUGAGAGACUGAUCGGCCACAAUGGAACUGAGACACGGUCCAUACUCCUACGGGAGGCAGCAGUAGGGAAUCUUCCACAAUGGGCGCAAGCCUGAUGGAGCAACACCGCGUGAGUGAAGAAGGGUUUCGGCUCGUAAAGCUCUGUUGUUGGAGAAGAACGUGCGUGAGAGUAACUGUUCACGCAGUGACGGUAUCCAACCAGAAAGUCACGGCUAACUACGUGCC